rnacentral:rRNA from 1 species
CAACAGCUAGAGUUUGAUCCUGGCUCAGGAUGAACGCUGGCGGCGUGCUUAACACAUGCAAGUCGAACGAGGUCAACCUUCGGGUGAAGACUGAGUGGCGAACGGGUGAGUAACACGUGGGGAACCUACCCUUCUCUCUGGGAUAACGUCGAGAAAUCGGCGCUAAUACCGGAUACUCCUUGCGGAUCGCAUGGUCUGCUUGGGAAAGCUCCGGCGGAGAGGGACGGCCCCGCGGCCCAUUAGCUAGUUGGUGAGGUAACGGCCCACCAAGGCGACGAUGGGUAGCCGAGCUGAGAGGCUGAUCGGCCACACUGGGACUGAGACACGGCCCAGACUCCUACGGGAGGCAGCAGUGGGGAAUCUUGCGCAAUGGGCGAAAGCCUGACGCAGCAACGCCGCGUGCGGGAUGAAGGCCCUCGGGUCGUAAACCGCUUUCAGCAGGGAUGAAACUGACAGUACCUGCAGAAGAAGCCCCGGCUAAAUACGUGCC